rnacentral:rRNA from 1 species
UUGAACGCUGGCGGCAGGCCUAACACAUGCAAGUCGAACGGUAACAGGAAACAGCUUGCUGUUUCGCUGACGAGUGGCGGACGGGUGAGUAAUGUCUGGGAAACUGCCUGAUGGAGGGGGAUAACUACUGGAAACGGUAGCUAAUACCGCAUAACGUCGCAAGACCAAAGAGGGGGACCUUCGGGCCUCUUGCCAUCGGAUGUGCCCAGAUGGGAUUAGCUAGUAGGUGGGGUAACGGCUCACCUAGGCGACGAUCCCUAGCUGGUCUGAGAGGAUGACCAGCCACACUGGAACUGAGACACGGUCCAGACUCCUACGGGAGGCAGCAGUGGGGAAUAUUGCACAAUGGGCGCAAGCCUGAUGCAGCCAUGCCGCGUGUAUGAAGAAGGCCUUCGGGUUGUAAAGUACUUUCAGCGGGGAGGAAGGGAGUAAAGUUAAUACCUUUGCUCAUUGACGUUACCCGCAGAAGAAGCACCGGCUAACUCCGUGCCAGCAGCCGCGGUAAUACGGAGGGUGCAAGCGUUAAUCGGAAUUACUGGGCGUAAAGCGCACGCAGGCGGUUUGUUAAGUCAGAUGUGAAAUCCCCGGGCUCAACCUGGGAACUGCAUCUGAUACUGGCAAGCUUGAGUCUCGUAGAGGGGGGUAGAAUUCCAGGUGUAGCGGUGAAAUGCGUAGAGAUCUGGAGGAAUACCGGUGGCGAAGGCGGCCCCCUGGACGAAGACUGACGCUCAGGUGCGAAAGCGUGGGGAGCAAACAGGAUUAGAUACACUGGUAGUCCACGCCGUAAACGAUGUCGACUUGGAGGUUGUGCCCUUGAGGCGUGGCUUCCGGAGCUAACGCGUUAAGUCGACCGCCUGGGGAGUACGGCCGCAAGGUUAAAACUCAAAUGAAUUGACGGGGGCCCGCACAAGCGGUGGAGCAUGUGGUUUAAUUCGAUGCAACGCGAAGAACCUUACCUGGUCUUGACAUCCACGGAAGUUUUCAGAGAUGAGAAUGUGCCUUCGGGAACCGUGAGACAGGUGCUGCAUGGCUGUCGUCAGCUCGUGUUGUGAAAUGUUGGGUUAAGUCCCGCAACGAGCGCAACCCUUAUCCUUUGUUGCCAGCGGUCCGGCCGGGAACUCAAAGGAGACUGCCAGUGAUAAACUGGAGGAAGGUGGGGAUGACGUCAAGUCAUCAUGGCCCUUACGACCAGGGCUACACACGUGCUACAAUGGCGCAUACAAAGAGAAGCGACCUCGCGAGAGCAAGCGGACCUCAUAAAGUGCGUCGUAGUCCGGAUUGGAGUCUGCAACUCGACUCCAUGAAGUCGGAAUCGCUAGUAAUCGUGGAUCAGAAUGCCACGGUGAAUACGUUCCCGGGCCUUGUACACACCGCCCGUCACACCAUGGGAGUGGGUUGCAAAAGAAGUAGGUAGCUUAACCUUCGGGAGGGCGCUUACCACUUUGUGAUUCAUGACUGGGGUG